CCUACGGGAGGCAGCAGUGAGGAAUAUUGGUCGAUGGGCGCGAGCCUGAACCAGCCAAGUCGCGUGAGGGAAGACGGCCCUACGGGUUGUAAACCUCUUUUGCCGGGGAGCAAAGGGCGUCACGUGUGGCGCCCCUGAGAGUACCCGGAGAAAAAGCCGCGGCGAACUCCGUGCCAGCAGCCGCGGUAAUACGGAGGAUGAGAGCGUUAUCCGGAUUUAUUGGGUUUAAAGGGUGCGUAGGCGGAGCGUUAAGUCAGUGGUCAAAUUGAGGGGCUCAACCCCUUCCCGCCAUUGAAACUGGCGCUCUUGAGUGGAAGAGAAGUAUGCGGAAUGCGUGGUGUAGCGGUGAAAUGCAUAGAUAUCACGCAGAACCCCGAUUGCGAAGGCAGCAUGCCGGCUUCCUACUGACGCUGAAGCACGAAAGCGUGGGGAUCGAACAGGAUUAGAUACCCCAGUAGUC
rnacentral:rRNA from 1 species